rnacentral:misc_RNA from 1 species
AGUAUUAUAGCUAGAGGUGUCCUCGCGGAGCCAUAAAUGUAGUUAACUUACUCAGGGUACAAAAAGGGUUUGAUUCACGACAGAGAUUUCUGAUAUUGUCGUACCCAGUUGUCAUAAUCCUGAAGGAGUUGUUGCAAUAGCAACGGUACUAGCCUGUCAACUAAAGCUUGCAUCAUUAAGUUACCGGGAGUCUCAACAGCAGAAGUAGGCAGCAUGGUGAAUGGCAUCGUAUAUAUCUCGAGAGAUAUAUUCAAUUUCACAUCAACAUCAAGGAAAGGCUGAGAUCCAACUGUUUCCCACGUUAUACGGUUUACCAUUGAUGCUGAAAAGUGGUCAUUCUGCUGCUCAACCAAAUCAGAACCCUCAAACUUGCAAGACAACAUCUCCACAGUGCAG